rnacentral:ncRNA from 1 species
UUCAAUGAACUGACAGCUUUCUUAGAAAGUUUGACUAAUUAAUCUUCUGCAAUGCUAUUAAGAGGAUUACCCUUUGAGGUUUAUAGCAAUAGGCCACUCCUAUGAUUAGUCACGUGAUUUGUUGAA